rnacentral:tRNA from 1 species
UGGGGAGUGGUCCAGCGGCAAGACGUCUGACUCUGGAUCAGAAAACCAAGGUUCGAAUCCUUGCUCCCCAGCCA